rnacentral:lncRNA from 1 species
UGUUUACUUCAUACAUUAUAUAGUAUUACAUAUUAUCUAUUAUAUGUAUUACUAUAUUAUUAAUAUGUAAAUAAUAUAUUAAUACAUAUAUGAUAUAUAUUAACAUAAUAUACAUAUUUGUAUAUAUUUAUAUAUGAAAUAUAUAUGUAUAAAAUCUCAUUAAAAUACAUUACCAAGUUGUCUCCUAUCACUGAGCCCAUCAAUCACACCAAGGGCAGAACACUAACAGGUAUCAAAACCUGGCUCGAACAUCUACGACUUCUUCUCUACCUCCUCACACUCUGGGCCAUCAGAUCCGGGCUAGGAUGCUGGAUCUGCUUGGUCCUCUCCAACUAACAGACAAGACUAACAGACAAAUAUUAAUAUUUAAUACAUAAUCUAUAAUAUAUAUUGUUAUAUAUGGAUUCAAAGUUCCUUAGAUAAAAUUUUCGAUUCAGUUGAGAAAUAUGUAAUUUUGUGAAUUAUUAAUUUUUUCUUCGUUUUAAUGGGCCAUACCCCCCAAUUUUAUUCCUUCACCCUAGGAGUUUGAGACCAGCCCGGGCAACUGAAUGAGACUCUGUCUCUAUAAAAGUAACCAUCAAGACAUUAGCCCGGCAUGUGAUGGUAUGCACCCUACUUUAAUUGUUUUUCAGUUCCAUGAAGGCAAGGCAAGUUCACAUUUUCCCAUUUCCAAGACAUGGACCAACAACAUGUAACGUCCCCUUGUUACUCAGUUCUGCUCUCAUGUCAGAGAUCACCAGCUUUCUGGCUAACAGUUCCAUGAAGGCAAGGCAAGUGGACGUUUUCCCAUUUCCAAGACGUGGACCAACAACAUGUAACAUCCCCUUGUUACUCAGCUCUGCUCUUAUUUCAGAGAUCACCAGCUUUCUGACUAAUAGGUAGACUAACUCAUUGCUAUUUCAAACUACCGGAACCAAACUAUGAACUCUCACCUGAUGUUUAAGAUGGGAGAGUUGCAAAGAUUUCACCGUUGCUUUCCUAGUCUGAUAUAUUCACAUCACCUGAGGGUCAGAUAAGAGUUAUCUGCAGGCUGAAAAUAACAACAACAGUCAUAAUGACAAUAUUAGUAGUCAUAAACUAAAAGUUAACACUUUAAAAAUUAAUACAACUGGCCAAGUGCAGUGGCAUAUACCUGUAAUCCCAGCACCUUGGGAAGGCAGGGAGACCAGAACAAGAGAUCAAGAGAUUGAGACCACCCUGGCCAACACGGUGAAAUCCCAUCUCUACUAAAAAUAGACAAAUUAGCUGGCCGCGGUGGUACACACCUGUAGUCCCAGCUACAUGAGAGACUGAGGCAGGAGAAUCGCUUGAACCUGGGAGGUGGAGGUUGCAGUGAGCCGAGAUCACACCACCGCACUCCAGGCUGCCAACGGAGUGAGACUGUCUCAAGAAAGGAAAAACCAAAAAUUGAUAAAACUCAUACAAAACCCUUUAGCUAAUAAAAGCUUACAGUACCAAAAACAUCAGAUUACAACAACAAACACUCUAUAUUACACGAAAAAAUAUAUCCUACUCUAUGCUCUUCUUUAUGUUACUCAGUCCAAAUACUUGCUGGUCUACCUGAUUGUUCGUGGUGAUAUUUUUCACUAUAUGCCAAUAAUUACGUGCAUCUUAUUAAUACUUCUGACUUGACUGUUACAACUCUAGAAUGCACAGGUUUUUACUUUAAAAAACAACUGCUGCACCAUCUCAGCCUAUCUGUUUCCACCUGUGUAGGUAGGUUCUUUACUUGGAAGUGGGAGGUGGGUUCUGUGUUCUUGAAUGGAAAGGCACAUUUUUCUCAAAAUGUGAUCUCUUUCUGUGUUUAUCAAUUUUACAUAGACCGAAUGAAAAUACCAAAGUUUUAACAUUUUUGUAUGACACCUGCUGUCUUUCACUAUUGUGAUGACAGUUUUAGGAAUCUCAUAAUGGAGUGGAAAAACAUUUGCUUUUCUAGAUAGCAAAAACACAAAUGCUUAGUUUACAGGUACAUUUUAUGUUGACAAAGCUUUUCCUAAGAAUGACCUCAUAAGCAGACAUCCUGAAGGUUGAUUUAGCCAACUAAAAAUUAAAACUGCCUGUAUUUCAGGAAAAAAAUUAACAAAACAAAAGAGAGUUUACUUGAAAAAUAUUAACUAUAUUAUACAUAUGUAUACACAUAUAUUCAGAUGAAAAGUAUGUUUUAAUUUUAUAGGGACUUCAUUUUAUAUAUUUUCUUUUUUUUCUUGGUUCAGAGUCUCGCUUCUUUGCCCAGGCUGGUGUCCAGUGGCACAGUCUUGGCUCACUGCAACCUGUGUCUCCCAGGUCCAAACAAUUCUCCUCCCUCAGCCUCAGAGGAAGCUGGGAUUACAAAAAUUAGCCGGGCAUGCUAGCACCUGCCUGUAAUCCCUGUAAUAAGUUCAAGUCUCAUCCAAGACAAGGCUGCAAUCCCUUCUGCCUAUGAGUCUCUGAAUGUAAAAGGGAGUUCUUUUCUUUCAAGUUACAGUGAUGGUACAGGCACUGGGUGAGGUUUCUCAACCCAAAGAGAAGAUUUUCCCAGAAUAAUAACACAACUGGGACACAGGCCCAAUGCGAGUCCAAAACUCUGCAGGACAGCAAUCAUUUUUCAUGAGAACUCACUAUCACACAGACUGCAUUAAGGAGAUACCGUUUAACCACUUAUGAAGGAUCUGCCGCCCAUCCCCACGUUCCACCCCCACCCGCGCCAUGAAACCCCAUUCUCCCACACUCCCACUUCCAACCUCCAUUGUCCACCAUGAUUAAAUCACCUUCUACAGAGCCCCACAUUUAAUAUUCCCCGUUACAAUUCCACAAGAGUUUUGGUAGGGAGACAGAGCCCAAUCAUAUUAUUCUCCCCUUUGUCCCCCAAUUUCACGUCCUUCUCAUACUGCAAAAUACAGCUUUGCAUUCUCAACGUUCCCCCAAGGGCUUAACUCAUUCCAGCAUUUACUGAAAUGUCAAAAGCCCAAAGUCUCUUCUGAGAUAAGGCUGCCAUCCCUGCUGCCCCUAAGUCUCUGAAAUACAACGCAAGUUAACUCAUUCCAAAGUAGAAAGAUUGUACAGGCAUUGGGUAAGCAUUCCAAGCCAAAAAGAAGAAAUUUGCCAGAAAGCAGCACAAAAUACAGAUGGGACUUACAGAUAUCAUGCAAGUCAAAACCCCAGCAGGCCACUCAUUCCAUCCUACAGCUCC